rnacentral:rRNA from 1 species
AUUGAACGCUGGCGGCAUGCCUUACACAUGCAAGUCGAACGGUAACAGGUCUUCGGAUGCUGACGAGUGGCGAACGGGUGAGUAAUACAUCGGAACGUGCCCGAUCGUGGGGGAUAACGAAGCGAAAGCUUUGCUAAUACCGCAUAAGAUCUACGGAUGAAAGCAGGGGACCGCAAGGCCUUGCGCGAACGGAGCGGCCGAUGGCAGAUUAGGUAGUUGGUGGGAUAAAAGCUUACCAAGCCGACGAUCUGUAGUUGGUCUGAGAGGACGACCAGCCACACUGGGACUGAGACACGGCCCAGACUCCUACGGGAGGCAGCAGUGGGGAAUUUUGGACAAUGGGCGAAAGCCUGAUCCAGCCAUGCCGCGUGCAGGAUGAAGGCCUUCGGGUUGUAAACUGCUUUUGUACGGAACGAAAAGACUCUUUCUAAUAAAGAGGGUCCAUGACGGUACCGUAAGAAUAAGCACCGGCUAACUACGUGCCAGCCGCCGCGGUAA